rnacentral:rRNA from 1 species
UACAGAGGUCCCAAGCGUUGUUCGGAAUUACUGGGCGUAAAGGGCUCGUAGGUGGCCAACUAAGUCAGACGUGAAAUCCCUCAGCUUAACUGGGGAACUGCGUCUGAUACUGGAUGGCUUGAGUUUGGGAGAGGGACGCGGAAUUCCAGGUGUAGCGGUGAAAUGCGUAGAUAUCUGGAGGAACACCGGUGGCGAAGGCGGCGUCCUGGACCAACACUGACACUGAUGAGCGAAAGCCAGGGGAGCAAACGGG